rnacentral:rRNA from 1 species
CCUACGGGUGGCUGCAGUGGGGAAUAUUGCACAAUGGGGGAAACCCUGAAGCAGCGAAGCCGCGUGAGCGAUGAAGUCUUUCGGUAUGUAAAACUCUAUCAGCAGGGGAGAAAAUGACGGUACCUGACUAAGAAGCCAUGGCUAACUACGAGCCAGCAGCCGCGGUAAUACGUAGGUGGCCAGCGUUAUCCGGAUUUACUGGGUGUAAAGGGAGCGUAGGCGGUCCUGCAAGCCAGAUGUGAAAGCCCGGGGCUCAACCCCAGGACUGCCUUUGGAACUGUAAGGCUAGAGUGUCGGAGAGGCAGGCGGAAUUCGUAGUGUAGCGGUGAAAUGCGUAGAUAUCAGGAGGAACUCCAGUGGCGAAGGCGGCCUGCUGGACGAUGACUGACGUUGAGGCUCGAAAGCGUGGGGAGCAAACAGGAUUAGAUACCCCAGUGGUC